rnacentral:lncRNA from 1 species
AGCUGGUGGUGGAGCACCCUUUUAGCUGAUGAGAAGCCCUCAAUCACUGCCAGCUGCACGCUGCCCCUGAACUCUAUCUUGCAACUCCCACCUUCCUAGAAGAUGUUACACAGCCAUGCUUUAGUGAGCUAUCAAUUAAGGGAAUAUAGCUACCCUAAGGAAGGUUCUACACCCACCCCACUUCCUUAGUGAUACACUACACCCUUCUAUGAAGCUUGCAACUGGAAUGUUUCUUGAGUUGCAGCUCUUCCAUGUGCCCCAGGACAGCCUGCUGGAGAAGGGCAUCUUUGUCCCAGCACAGUGGAUUGAGGUUUUCCUGUUGUUUGUGGGCUGCUACAGAAAAAAUAAGGAGCUGGUUUGGUCUCCCUGUUUGCUUUCACCGGAAGCACAACCUGAAGUCACCAAUCAAAGGAGGUGCAGAGGCUUCAUAAGUUACUUCUCAGUGAAGGUUUGCAUGGCUCUGGCAGAAUGGCAUCAGAUCAUCUGAGAAAGACAGCAGCCAGGGAGAGCACAGAGAGAAAGCACUGGCAGCACAGUUUUGAGAAGAUGCUGACUGCAGCUUUUUGCUGGCUAAAAAGAGACUUGGAGAUCUCUCCUGCUGUUUCAUUCCUGGUGUGUGAAGGGAAACAGGGCUUUGUACAUAAUUUGAAAGCAAACAGGAUUGUGUCAAAGGUAUCAGCCUCUGCUGGUAAUUAUUUCUCCAGACUGGAAUGUCCCAUAGGCUUCAGAAUUUAGCCAGCUCCUCUGGGCAGACAGAUAAUAUCGAGACCUGUUCUUCUCUGAUGGAAGUAGUUAUUGCUCCCUGGAUGUUACAUUGCUACACACCAGUGGAGAAUCUGACAGAAAUAAAAUAGCAGCUUCUGUUGGAUUUGAAGUUGAG